rnacentral:rRNA from 1 species
UACAGAGGGGGCAAGCGUUGUUCGGAAUUACUGGGCGUAAAGGGCGCGUAGGCGGCCUGUUAAGUCGAACGUGAAAUCCCCGGGCUCAACCCGGGAACUGCGUCUGAUACUGGAUGGCUUGAAUCCGGGAGAGGGAUGCAGAAUUCCAGGUGUAGCGGUGAAAUGCGUAGAUAUCUGGAGGAAUACCGAUGGCGAAGGCAAUCCCCUGGGCCUGCACUGACGCUCAUGCACGAAAGCGUGGGGAGCAAACAGG